UCACUUUCAACAAUGGAUCUCUUGGCUCUCGCAUCGAUGAAAAACGCACCGAAAUGCGAUAAGUAAUAUGAAUUGCAAAAUUCCGUGAAUCAUCAAAUUUUCGAACGCAAAUUGCACUUCUUGGUAUUCCGAGGAGUACACAUGCUUGAGGGUCAGUG
rnacentral:rRNA from 1 species